rnacentral:rRNA from 1 species
UACAGAGGGGGCAAGCGUUGUUCGGAAUUACUGGGCGUAAAGCGUGCGCAGGCGGUGGCUCAAGCCAGGCGUGAAAUCCCCGGGCUUAACCUGGGAAUGGCGUUUGGGACUGGGUCGCUAGAGUGUGGCAGAGGGAGGUGGAAAGUUCCGACGUGUAGCAGUGAAAUGCGUAGAGAUGUGGAGGAACACCGAUGGCGAAGGCAGCCUCCUGGGCCAGCACUGACGCUCAUGCACGAAAGCGUGGGGAGCAAACAGG